UACGUUGGGGGCAAGCGUUGUCCGGAUUUAUUGGGCGUAAAGAGCGUGUAGGCGGCUUUGCAAGUCCGUUGUGAAAACUCGAGGCUCAACCUCGAGACGCCGGUGGAAACUGCAAAGCUAGAGUCCGGAAGAGGAGAGUGGAAUUCCUGGUGUAGCGGUGAAAUGCGCAGAUAUCAGGAAGAACACCCGUGGCGAAGGCGGCUCUCUGGGACGGUACUGACGCUGAGACGCGAAAGCGUGGGGAGCGAACAGG
rnacentral:rRNA from 1 species